rnacentral:rRNA from 1 species
CUCAGAAUCAGCGCUGGCGGCGUGCCUCAGACAUGCAAGUCGAACGAUUAAAGCUCUCUUCGGAGAGUGUAUAGAGUGGCGCACGGGUGAGUAACACGUAAGUAAUCUACCCUCGAGUGGGGAAUAACAACCGGAAACGGUUGCUAAUACCGCAUAAUGCAGCGGCACCGCAAGGUGACAGUUGUUAAAGAUUUAUCGCUUGAGGAGGAGCUUGCGGCAGAUUAGCUAGUUGGUAGGGUAACGGCUUACCAAGGCUACGAUCUGUAACCGGUCUAAAGAGGACGGUCGGUCACACUGACACUGAAUAACGGGUCAGACUCCUACGGGAGGCAGCAGUCGGGAAUUUUGGGCAAUGGGCGAAAGCCUGACCCAGCAACGCCGCGUGAAGGAUGAAGUAUUUCGGUAUGUAAACUUCGAAAGAAUAGGAAGAAUUAAUGACGGUACUAUUUAUAAGGUCCGGCUAACUACGUG